CCUACGGGAGGCAGCAGUGAGGAAUAUUGGUCAAUGGGCGCAAGCCUGAACCAGCCAAGUCGCGUGAGGGAAGACGGUCCUAUGGAUUGUAAACCUCUUUUGUCGGGGAGCAAAAGACGCCACGCGUGGCGUUCCGAGAGUACCCGAAGAAAAAGCAUCGGCUAACUCCGUGCCAGCAGCCGCGGUAAUACGGAGGAUGCGAGCGUUAUCCGGAUUUAUUGGGUUUAAAGGGUGCGCAGGCGGAAGAUAAAGUCAGCGGUAAAAUUGAGAGGCUCAACCUCUUCGAGCCGUUGAAACUGGGUGUCUUGAGGGAGCGACAAGUAUGCGGAAUGAGUGGUGUAGCGGUUAGAAGCAUAGAUAUCA
rnacentral:rRNA from 1 species